GAGGGAAAAUGGCUCCUCGAAGUCGCUUUGCAGGAAGAGAUUUUAAACCACCUUAAGCUGCUUUGGUCAAAAGCCAAGGUAGUGAGCGUUAAGGAAAAGGUAUGAUAAACAUAUCAAGU
rfam:Neochlamydia sp. EPS4 DB42_EA, whole genome shotgun sequence.